rnacentral:rRNA from 1 species
GUCUAUGGCCAUACCAUGAAUAAGCCCGAUCCCAUCUGAUCUUGGAAGCUAAGUAGGGUUGGGCCUGGUUAGUACUUGGAUGGGAGACCACCUAGGAAUACCAGGUGCUGUAGGUG